AUCUGGUGCAGAAAAAAUUGGAACCGUUUAUGUUAUUGUGUAUUUUUUUUUGGUGUAUUAAGUUGUUAUUAUGUUAUUAUGAAAUUAAUUUUUCAUCUUCAAUUUCGACGACCCUAGCACAUUAAUAUAUAUAUACCAUACCAUACCAUUUAUCUUUAUUAAUACAAAAAGGGUAAUUAUUACUGAUAAAGUGUUUCCAGAUAACACAAUAUAUGAGCUAAACUCUCCCUUUUGGUACCAAUACCUAAAACGUCAAAGAUUUACUUAACAAUUACCCUCAUUGUGUUGACAUUUAAAAUCAUAUGAAUAUCAUUUUUUUAACACUGGAGGUUUUGUUCUUAUUUUGGUUCAAGUAUCUUGGUACAUUCCAGGAACGCAUGAAAGUUUAUAACAGAGGCACUUUACCAAAAAUUAUUAACUCAUAGCAUGAGAUCUGUAGUGUACUAUAGAAGAGGGGCGAAAAGUACCAGAGGGACAUUCAAACUCGUAGGAUAUGCUGCAUGUUGAAAAAUCUCACCUAUGACAUCCUCAAACAAUACCAAAUAUGUUUAAGUGUUUUGAAAGACUGGACAGCCA
rnacentral:lncRNA from 1 species